CAGGAUGUGGCUCAACACAGAUAAAGCAUCUCCCUUACACUGAGAAGAUAUCCGUG
rnacentral:rRNA from 1 species